UACGUAGGGGGCAAGCGUUGUCCGGAAUCAUUGGGCGUAAAGCGCGCGUAGGCGGCCCUGUAAGUCCGUUGUGAAAGUCAAAGGCUCAACCUUUGAAAGCCGAUGGAUACUGCAGGGCUAGAGUCCGGAAGAGGCGAGUGGAAUUCCUGGUGUAGCGGUGAAAUGCGCAGAUAUCAGGAGGAACACCAAUUGCGAAGGCAGCUCGCUGGGACGUUACUGACGCUGAGACGCGAAAGCGUGGGGAGCAAACAGG
rnacentral:rRNA from 1 species